rnacentral:lncRNA from 1 species
AAGCAGCUAUGGAGACUGUCAUCCAGAUCAGUGGAAGCCCCUGCAACUUUAUUCACUCCAUGCAUACUUAUCAUGAGCACUGAUAGGAGGUUUCUCCUAACAACUCAUCCAUUACUUGAAUGAGUAUAUAGAGAGCUCUAUCAAGCUUGUGAAAGAUGCAAAAUAGCACGAGCUCAAGGUCGGGAUGCUCAAGGGUGUAAAGGACAAGGCUACAAUGGAUGCUAGAGAGGACUCCAUGAGAGUUGAUGCC